UUCCGAUGAUGACUUCUUAUUAGUGCCACGUGUCUGGGCCACUGAAACCCGGUGAUGGAACUGAGGAGCUGAGGAA